rnacentral:rRNA from 1 species
AUGUCGACAGCUUCUUCCUCCCUCGGUCGCUUUCCACUCCCAACAUCAAUGGUGACGGUACAUAUGUGGCGUAUGAUUAAGAACGGACUGGAGGUUAGCGCCGAGCUUCACCGUAGAAGAAUUAAACCAGGAGUUUUUUGCGUGGCAUGUGAUAGAGAGGAAACCAUAUACCACCGUUUUUGGGCGUGUCCACACUCCGUCCACUUCUGGAAGUUACUACGGGAGGAGAAGGGCGUUUAUGUGGCACUUCCACCGGCUCCGUUGGACAACCAUGGUGAGCUAUCUCGCUGGCUCGUUGAAUGGCUUGCUGCUGCUGAUGGGGACAAGCGGGAGGCAAUGAUUCAGGCUACUUACGGUCUAUGGCUCGCUAGGAAUGCAGCAAGAGAUGGGAAGAGGAUUGAUCAACCACAUGAAAUAAUGGAGUCAGUUUGCUCUCACAUGGCGGAAUGGAACAACGUGCAUCAACUAAAGCCGAGGCCAGAAAGGACGGAUCUGCCACAAAAGUGGGAAGCACCUGUAGAUGGAUGGGUGAAGAUUAAUUCAGAUGGUGCGGUGCAUAAAGGAGGGAGUAAGGUUGGGGGUGGAGCUGUGCUUAGGGACCAUAAUGGGGCAUUUCUGGCCGGAGUGUGCCAUCAUUUUCCACACAUUGUGGAGCCUGAAGCAGCGGAGAUUUUGGCGUGUAAAAGAGCGUUGCAGGUAGCAGAGGAGAUCAAUGUACAGAAUGUCCAUUUGAAGCUAGACUGUUUGCCGGUGUUGCAAAUGAUCAACCAGAAGGGCAUCAAUUAUUCGGGAGCGGGACCAUGGAUUCAGGAAAUCAAACACAUGCUGGAGACGAAGAAUGACUACAAAGUGACGUGGGUGAGACGCACGGGUAAUGUUGCCGCGCAUAAAUUAGCAAAAGUAGGGGUAGGCGAUGAAUUGUGUAAGGUUUGGUUGGGGGUUCCCCAGACUGCAUUUUAG